AGGAAAGGCCAGUUUGCAUUUCCUUCACGCUCGAAGGUCACGGAGAUCUUAACGUAAAACGUGUCAUGUGACGGGGGAGAGGUUGGGUGAGCACGACACGUGUUGCAUCAUUAUCAAGCAGGUGUAAUAGCCGUAAGGCUUAAGAUAAGGGUCAGGGUAAGAAAAAAAUGUAUAAAAGGAGAGAGAAAAGGCAUUUGAAAUCAGUUGAGUGAGAAUAUCUGACACGGCAACAACUGCUGUGCACUUUUUGUCACCAACUGCAUUCUUCAUCGUACCGGUUCACAACCAAAUGUAACUAUGGCGUCGUGCAGCUGUUGGUUGUCCUUAAUGGUUGGGUCGACUACUGGUGUACCGAUGUCUCGUGGGUAUGGUGGAUACCCAACUGCAACGUCACCGCCUUACCAGACAACGUACGCAACAACCGGAUACUACACCACCAAAGCCAAGGACACCGGAGCACCACCAAGGGAGCGGAGUACUACACCACCAAGGGAGCGGAGUACUACACCACCAAGUUUGCUGCCCCAUUUCUUAUACCGAGGCUCUAAGUACUACUCCGUUCCCAGCCACUACAUCGAGGCUCCAGUUUAUUACACCACCACGUGGUCAAAUACUACACUGAAGCGCCCAAGUACUACUCUACCCCGAAUUACUUCAUAGCGACUGCUCCUUCGUACUACGUUGGACCGAAACACUACACUGAGGCUACAGUUUUCUACACUACACCUAGCUACACCUAGCUACACCUAGCUACACCUAGCUAAUACACCAAGGCCCCCAAGUAAUACAUCGACGAGGCCGCAUGUUGCACUACAACCCACGCUGCCCUCAGCUACCAUACCGAGGCUCCGCUCCCAAACCGACGCUUCCAAGUACUACACAACCAUGGCACCCGAGCUACUACUUAGGCUGCUCCGAGCUGCGAAGUAUUCCACUGCCCCGAGUUACUACACCACCAAGGCACCUGAUGUUAUCAUAACCUUCGCUUCUCCAGUUUACUACAGGGAGGCUCUUAAAUACCAGAGCCGAAAUUUCUGAUUUAUUUAUUUGUGUUUGUCGGUUGUUGUGAUUUGUCGGUCAUAUCUUAAUAGUUACUAUAGUAACUGGGAAUAGUUGUUGAUCUUAAAUGAGAAAAUACAUUUUUUAAUGGUAAA